AUAUUCAAAUCUAAUCUCAGACAUCAGCUGUGUGACCUGGGCAAGUGACAUCACUGAACUUCCUCAUCUGUAAAAUGAGCUGAAGAAGGGAAUAGCAUACCACUCCAGUAUGGAGUCACAAAGAGUUGGAUGUGGCUAAACCAUCUGAACAACAACAACAUUAUUUCUACUAAUGGGUGAAAAAGAGGAGGAAAAACAUCCCAGCCAUGGGAGAAAACUUGCACAAAAACAGAGAUCAGAUUUCAGGAACAGGAAAUCCUUUAGUAGUCAAAUGGGGAGAAGACACAGAAUAUUCCCCAAAGCAGCAGAACUGAUCCAGUUCCCUCAAAAUAGUCUGUAUCGCCAAACCUCAUCAGUGUUGUUACCAUGUCAUCCACACCGGAUUUCACCAUUCUGGGAAAAAGAAUACCAGUCAAGGACUGAACUGAUGUCUCUCCUUCAACAAACUUCUAAUACCUCACAAUCAUCACACCGUCACUACCACAAGAAUGUACAAGAGCCUACAUCUUGGCUCAAACAUUCAGGCAAUGCUCCCAAGAUGCCCCACCUUAAUUAUAGAGCAGUGGCAGCGCCAUUGCCCCGUCUUCAUCACCUGGCUAAACCAGCUUCUCGUCACAAGCACCGUACAGUGGCUCCAGUCUUGCCUUUACCUAGGACUGAUAUCCCAACCAGAAAAACUUCUGGGUCUUUGAUUCCCAUUGAUCAGUGCCUUAUACCUCCUCUCAGUCUCAAACACCAGUAUGAUUUUCCUUCGGAUUCUGACCACCGGUUGGAGAAUUCUUCAGGUUCUGACCAUCUUCCCAAGAUUUUCCCAGCUUGUGAUCAUUUGAGUAUUGAGGAUCUAUCACUUCUUAACCCAAAGGACCCAAUUUCAACCUUCUCUGACCACCAGACUAAGGUUCCAUUAUAUAAGGGCCACAAAUCCAGGGAUACUCCAGUUCCUGACACCCAGAUCAAGACCAGUGGUCCUCUGGCAAGACCCCCCACUCAGGGGACCAAAGUUUUGCCAAGACCCAGGCGCCGGAUCAAGGCUACCAAUGCACUGUUAGGACUUUUUAACUUGGACCCUGUACUCCAUCCACUUGCAAAAUCAUUACCUUUUACUAACUGGACCAAGGGCCCAAAUUUCAGAUCACCAUCUCCAAACCACCAGGCCCAGACCCAAGCUCUGAAGACAUCACAUAGUGACUUGCAGCUCAAGGAAGCAAUGUCCUUUUUACAAUACCUUGAGCACCGUCCUAGACCCCUAGCUGUACCUACAUCUCAUCUGAAUCGGAAAAACAGGUCUACAACAGUAUGCAAGUAUAACAAUCGCCAACUACAUGGACCAUGCUCUCUUGCCCAUGUCUCAGUUCAAACAGAACAAGACAACUGGGAAACUAAGCUUCUGAGAAAAUACCUCCUGGAUUCGCGUCCAUGCAGUCCUGAAGAGAAGCCUUCCACAUUAGUGAAAAUUGACAAAGAGCCUUUUGAAGCAAUUUUUCAAGGAAAAGCUAUCCAGGACUUAACUCCAUCUAAUCUUGACCUGAAAACUGGCGUGACCUCAGAGCCAACUGUCCAUGUCUCCAUCCAAACAGAACCAGACACUUGGGUAACAAUAUCCCAAAGAUUAGAGCUUCAGGAAAAACUUCCAUCCUGUCCUGAAGUGGAUGUUGACAUGAUCUCAGAGCCUAUUGUCCAUGUCUCCAUCCAAACAGAGCUAAACACCUGGGAAACAAUAUCCCCAGAGACAGACCUCCAGGAAACAUUUUCAUCCAGUCCUGAUGUGGAAACUGACAUCACCCCAGAGCCUACUGUUCAUGUCUCCAUUCAAACAGAGCUAGACACCUUGGAAACAAUAUCUCCAGACACAGACCUCCAGGAAACAUUUUCAUCCAGUCCUGACCUGGAGACUGACAAGAUCCUGGAGCCUCUUGUCCAUACCUCCAUGCAAACAGAGGUAGACAAUUGGGAAACAACAUCUCCAGAGACAGACCUCCAGGAAACACUUCCAUCCAGUCCUGACCUGGAAACUAACAAGACCUUAGAGCCUCCUGUCCAUGCCUCCAUACAAACAGAACUAGACACUUGGGAAACAAUAUCCCCAGAGAUAGACCAGGAGGAAAUCUUUGUAACAGGACAGGAUGAGAACAUAAUUCCACUGGACUCAAGUCCCCAGGAUAUAACUCUAUCUGGCCCUCACCAAAGGACCACACCUCCAUCCAGUCCUAUGUCCGGAGCUGAGCAUACGCCAGACUCCAAUGCCCUGGUCCCUCUUCAUCAAGAACUAGAACGAUGGAAACCACCACCACAAGAAAUAGAUCAUCUGGAUAUAUUUUCAUCCAGCCUAGAAAUGGACACUAGCAAUGUAUCAGGACCCACUGUCAAAGAAUCAGUUCCAAUAAAAGAAAUGUACUGGGAAAUAAUAUUAGCAAUGCUACUUGGACUAUCCAAUCACCAGGCAAUAACAUUAACAGAUGAGAAACAUGAAACUGCUCAUCCACUGGAUUUGGAUAACCAGGAGAGAAUAUUUUCUAGCCCUGAUGAGGCAAAAACACCUUUACCUAGCCCUAAGCACCAGAUUGAGGAUAUUUCAAAUCCUGAUGCCCAGGCUACACUUAAACAAAAAUUAGAAGAAUGGGCAACACUAUCAGAGGAAACAAAUCUCUGCAACACAUUAACAUUUACCACAGAGUCACACUCUGAGAAAACUCCAGUCCUUAGUGAUGUGGAUGAUCAUAUCUCAGAUGGAAUAGAGAAAGAAACAAUUGAAAUCAUAGAUAUAAUGCCACUGAGAAUAGAAGUCCAAGAAGCAAAUCAAAUAGUUGAGGAUCAUUGGGCAAUAACACCUCUUUCCCCAGACAACAGUGACCAAGAAAAUGCUGUACCUGCAUCUGACCAUCAGCCCACACCACUCCUCACUCUGGACCAAGAGCAAGAGGCUGAAGAUACAGCACAUGACCCUGUCCAAGAUUUAAUAGUUCAAACAGACCAAGAGUCUGGAGAAAUAACACCAUUGAGAACAGAUUUAGUGGCCACAUUUCUAACCGACCAGGAUAAUGAGGCAACAAUGCCUCCAGUGGACAUAAAACCUAAAGAACCAGCUCAACUUGUCCUUGAAUCUCAAAUCAUACCUUCAUUCAGUCCUGACCAGCAGACUGAAGAUAUACCAGAUCUAAGCUCUCAGGUGUCCCUUCAACCAGGAUCUGGCCCAUGUGACACAAUGUCAUCAGGAACAGAGCUUCAAAACAUCAUUUUAGUAGACCAGGAUCAAAGGAUAAUACCACCAUUGAACUUAGACAAUGAGGAAAUGACUCUACUUAGCUCUAACCAGUGUACAAUACAUCCACCUAGUCCUCCUGACAGACAGUCAGAAGUUGCUGAAGAUCUCAAUAGUCAGGCUACAUCUCCAAGAGAUUUAGAAUACUCAGCAAAAUUGUCUGAGGGUCGAGAGUAUGAUACACCUUCAUCUAGUGCUAGUCCCUCAAUCACUAUUUCAUCUAUCUCAGAAAACGAGACUGAAUCUGGAACAGAAUCCACCCAUGCAUCAAGCACAUCACCAGGAAAUGUGGAUGAUGAGGAAGAAAUGCCUCCAAGCCCUGACAAGACCAUAUCAUCAUCAAGUUCCAACCACCAGAUUGAGGCUCCAACAGGUCGUGACCACCAGCCUGAGACUGAGCUGAGCUCCGACCACCAAGACGAGGUUGAAUCUGGGCUCCCACAUCAGCUCCAUUCUGUGCAAAAGAAACAGACCAAAUUGCAUUUAAAUUACAUCAAACCGUACACCAUCGAGGGGGGAACCAUCUCUGAUAAAACUGCUCAUGCCAUCAUCAAUUCCAUCCCUCAGAAGAGAAUAAAAAAUGACAUUUGUAAGGAUGUUCCCCUCCCUCUUGAUGAAUACAACUCAUGUGAAUACAUAGUCUGUUUAAUUUGUGCCUCCUGGAUCCCAGAUGGCUGCCCACAUGAAGGAAUGAAAUAUCCAUGUGAAGCUCAAUUGCUUGCUGUACCAAUACCUAUACCCAUGUGUGAGGAGGAGAUUGAUAUAAAAUUUGUCUUCAAAUGCCCCGAGGCAACAGUCUCUUCCCUUUUCAGCACCUCAAGCACCCAUAGCUGUGCGAGAAAGUCUUCAGAAGGUGCAGAAUCAUUUAUCUCAGACACUAUGCUACCUGUUCCAUCAAGGCCAAAGUGGUUUCACUUCAUCCUAGGCAAAUCUCUCCCACAGUGGAAGAAAGAUAGUCCUAGAAGCCCAGAGCCCCUCCUAGAUAAGGUCUUCGAGGAGGGAAGCAUUAGCAAAGAAGGGGAAAAGGCAAAGACACAUCGGACAUCUUUCAGGUCUCUCCUAGAGAGAUUUCAGUGGAGGCAAAAGGAAACUAAAUAACUAUAUUUUGAAAGGAAUUGAUUCCCCCAGUAUAUUUUUGGCUUUUGUGUCUUAUUUUUUAUAGUGAUUUUAGGUAUUAACAAAAGGAAAUGAUAAAAUUGUCUCUUCUUUGCAGUUCAAGAGUAAAUUCUCCAUGUUUUUUCCUUUCGUAUUCCAUAGUUUGUAGAGCCCUCUGUGAUAAAUAUGGGGAGAAUAUGGACAAUAGUCACAGAGAAGGGGCAUGCAGGGACCUGGGUUGCUACUUGCAUCUUUGGUGGAACUAUUCAAAUCAAUAUCACAUGUGUAUCUGAGUAUUGAGGUAGAUAGACUGUGCUCAGAAUUAAUGGAUUCCCAAUAGGCCAGAAAACUUCAUUCUUUACUUUUCUCACACAUUAACAAUUUAGUAAAUGUUUUCAUAGAUUAAAAUGUGACUACAUAUAUAAUCUAUAAACCUUUU
ensembl:lncRNA